rnacentral:lncRNA from 1 species
CUGUAACCACAUUAUCUCCUCCUCUUUAUUAAUCUUUGAAAGUUCCUCCUCUAACUUUUUCCUUAACAUGUUUUUUUGAGCAAAAGAGGGUUUCCCCUCCGAUUUCCAUUAUAGAAACCAGGCCGAAGCCACGAGCAGUCUAGAAGUCUUACAAUAAGAAGCGGAACAGAGAGUAAAAGCGAAACCCGCGCAAGGAGUGGCCAGGGACACAGCCCCCACCCCCCGGAUAGUCAGAUCAUUACAAGUUUCCAUCACAAAAGGCUAAACGGAGGAGAAGACAAGUCUAAAGCAAAAGCAGCAGCAAGCUCUUGAAAUGUCGCAGCUUCCCUAAUCCUUCAGCCGCGGAACCCCGAAGCGCCAUCCUUGCGAAGCUUUGAAGAUCUCACUUGCCACCUGCUCGAUGAGUCUUGCCCCCAACGUCAGCGUUCUUUCCCCUGGGCCCUUUUUCUGCAAAAUAGCCCAAUCAGUAAUCCAGCAGCAUAUUCGUUUAACGAUCCCAAUCGGGUCGUUUACUUUUUCUUAUCAAACACAAUGUCAUUGCAAUUCCAAAUCGCCCAAAGCAGAGCAGAAGUGCCAAUCAACACCAAUUUUUUACUCUCUUUGUUAAAAUUGUUUAGCCACCCCCAAAACAGUCGUCAAUGUUUAUGGGAGUUUUCUAAAAGUCAAAUGAACAUCUCACCAGAUUCCAAAUGAUUCUAGCAACCGAAUAGGAGAAGAAAAGAUGAUCAAUGUUUUCCUCCUGUCCACAAAACACACAAUGUUUGUCCCCUUUCCAUCCUCUUUUCAAUAGGGUGUCUCUAGUAAGGAUACUUUUUUUGCUUAGCAACCAAAGAAAGAACUUGAUUUUUGCAGGUACCUUGACUUUCCACAGGAAUUUGUGUGGAAAACCCAUGUCAGUACGAACUAGGUGUCGAUAUAAGGAUUUUACAGUGAAUAUUCUGUUAGCAUUGAGCAUCCACAUGGGCUUGUCUCUGCCCCCGUGCAUUAAUAUGUCCUCACAUCUUCUUUUAAGGCUAUCCCACAGCCCCCCAUAGCCUCCAUCUAUAUUUCUUCUGAAAGACAUAGCAUUCCACCCUUUUUCAAUCACCCCUCUGACGGUAAUUUCUCUGUCAUUGCUAAUUGCAUACAAUGAGGGGUAUGCCUCUUUUAGUGGUUUGUCAUCCACCCACUAAUCUUCCCAGAAUCUGGUAUUUCUCCCAUCCCCUAGUUUUUUUUUAUGCGAGGGAAAACUAAAUUCUUGAUACUUAUCAGGCUAGUCCAGAAUUGCGAGUCCCCCUGUCUUUUUUAAUGCCUGACAAGCAUUUGUUCUGGAUAUAUUUAGAUCUAAUGAUAUCUUGCCAAAGUCCCUCCUCAGCUUCUAGUUUCCAAAUCCAUUUAGCUAGCAAGGCAAUGUUAAAUUUCUCUAGUUGAUUAGCCCGAGACCUCCUUGUUGUUUAGGAAGGCAGCAUGUUUUCCAGUUAACUAAACGAUACUUUUUUUUAUCCUCUUCCGCUUGCCAUACCAGUCUCGCCCUGAAGAAAUCAACUUUUUUCCUGACUCCAACAGGGAGCAGAUAGAAAGACAUCAUGUAUAUAGGAAUAUUUGUUAGGCACGACUGUACUAAUGUGACUCUGCCAGCAAUAUUGAGCAAUCUGCCUUGCCAGCACGCACAUCUUUUCUCUAUUUUCUCAGUUACAUUCCUCCACAUCCCAUUACUGAUCCUUUUAUCAUGUACUGGUAGGCCUAGGUAUUUCAGUGGCAUCUCCCCAAACGCACACGUAAAAAUCUCUUAAUAUAUAUCUUUCUGCCUUAGCUUCUCCAAAGAGGUAUAUGCCACUUUUGUGAAAAUUAAUUGUGAGUCCUGACAUUUGUUCAAAAGCAGUCAGAAUAAAUUUGAGAUUUCUCGCUGACACCUCAUCAUCCUGGAUUAGGAAUAUGGUGUCAUCUGCAUAUUGCAGCAUGUUCACUCCAUUUUCAUGAUUGUAUGUGAGAACCCCUUUAAUAAAUCCCUUAUUUCUAGCUCUGUCCAUAAUAAUGGCCAGGGCGUCAAUAGCUAAAUCAAACAAUAGGGGGGAUAAUGAGUCCCCCUGGCGAAGCCCUUUAAAAGUUUUAAAAAACUUUCCAAUAUUGUCAUUUACCUUCACACCCACUUGUCCCCCCCUCAUGGUGUCCAUCACCCAGUCACACCACUUGCAGGAAAGUUUUUGAGUUUCAGCAUUUUAUGGACAAAAGGCCAUUUGAUUUUGUCAUAUGCAUUUUCAAAAUCUACCUUCAAUAUUAUAGCAUUUUGUUUUUUCAUUUUGAUUGAAUUUAUAGCUUCAUGUAGGAUCACCACUCCCUCCAUAAUGUAUCUGCCUUUCACAAAAGCAGUUUGAAUGGGGGAGAUGAUGGGGUUAACAACCUUACUAAGCCUGUUCAUCAGGACUUUAGUGAUGAUUUUGAAGCUGACAUUCAACAGGCAAAUGGGUCUGAAUUUCUGGAUCUGUUUGGCAUCUUGACCUUUGGGACCAAGGUAAUGAUCCCAUAAUUCAACCUAGCUAAAUCAACCACACCUCUGUGGAAAUCAUCCAUAAUGUUUUUUAUAUCAUUCUUGAUUAAAUCCCAGAAGUUCUGAUAGAAUUCAAUAGCAAAUCCAUCAGGGCCUGGGCUUUUGUUUUUUUUCCAUGGAGAACACCACUUCCCUAAUCUCUUCCAUGGAGAAGUCCUUAACCAAUUCAUCUUGUGUUUGAGGAGAGAUCUCUGCAGACCCUUGUAUGUUAAGAUUGAUAGUAGAGUUUUCAGCUUGAUCAAAAAGAUUUUUAUAGAAUGUAGUGAUAUACUCAAUCAGUUCUUUCUCUCCCUGAAUCACACCCUCAUCCUGUUCUAACCUGACAAUCCUGUUCUUCUCCUCCCAUUCACUUUGGCAUGAUAAUAUCUAGUAUUGGAAUCUCCUUUUAUUUCCUUAUCUUUGUAUCUCUGUAACCACUUGAUUUCUUCUAAUUUGAAGAUUUCUUUCAAUUCCCUUCUCAAUUAUUUCUGCAUAAUUCUUUCUUGGGCAUUAAUCCCUCUCAAUUCUGCAUUUUUAUCUAUCAUGUCCAGCAUAUUUAACAGUUCCUUCUUUCUUUUCCUAUACAUAGCAUUAGCAUUUAACCCACCCUUUGAUUUUUUGUCUAACGUUUCUGAGUAUUUUUUGCCAAGUGUCCAUACUAGAUCCAUUACACCUCACCUCCCAGUUUUUUUCCACAAAUUCCUUAAAUCCUUCCAUAUGCAUCCAUGCAUUUUCAAAUCUAAAAAUGGGAGGAGCAUUUCUCUGCUCACCAGAAUCCAACAGCAGUGGAGUGUGAUCUGAAAUCUCUCUCUCUAAUGUUGUGACCAUAGUCAUGGGGUAUUUAUCUUCCCAAUCUGGGCAUACCAAUACCCUAUCAAGUUUCUCAUAUGUAGGGUCUGGCAUAUUAUUUGCCCAAGUGAAUUGUCUCCCACUGAUUGGGAUGUCUCUUAAUCCAGCAUGUUCAAUAAUAGCAUUAAAAACAAAGCUGAAGUGAUCCACCCCAGGUUUAUUUUUCUCUGCACUGUUUCUAAUGAUAUUGAAAUCCCCCCAAUGACACAGGGGAGAGGGUUAUCUUGAUACAAUCUAGAUAAUUCAGCUAAAAAAGAUGCUUUCCCUUUUCUUUGAGCAUCACCAUAGACAGUCACCAAGUUCCAACUAAACUUAGCUUUUUUUAUCAAAAAGUAGUGUUCUGAUAAAAUAUGUGCCUUUUUCCACUUGUAUCAAGUCAAAAUUAUCAUUAUUAAUUCUUACCAAUAUUCCUCCAGAUUUGCCUCGAGGGGCAAUCCAUUCCCAGAGAAAAAAAAUUCCCCCCAGCAAGGUUGUGCAAUUCAUUUUUUGUAAAGUCACCCUUAAUGGUCUCCAAAAGGCCAACAAAAUCUAAUUUUUUUUCUAUGAUUGCCUCUCUGAUAAAGUUUUUCUUUGUGUCCUGUCUAAUCCCCCUCACAUUCCAAAAUAUUCCUUUCAUUGUUUCUUUUUCUUCUUUCUCCCUCCCCUAAAAGAUAUAGCAAGCUUCCCAGCACUAGCAGCUGAGGUGCCAAUCUUAAUUUUUCUUAUUACUAGAGAAUAUUUUCCUCAAGGUGUCAUAGUAAUCAAGAUCCAUUUCUGUAUCAGAGUGAUCAUCACCUGAGCAUAGUUCUUCUAGUUUAGCAUCUCCAAUAUCAAUUAGAUUUGGAGAACUUUCAUUUUUUUCUUUUUCCUCUUGAUGAUAUAUAUCUCUUCUACCCUGUUCCAUAUUGGAGAUCAGGUCUAGGUUUUGGCUGACCAGGUCAAUAGUACACCCCAGCUCCACCCCCACUUUCUCUGUCAUUUCAAACAAAGAGAUUUGAUCCUUAGUAAGGGUUGGGGACUUACCAUAGUUAUCCUUGUCAGCAGCUCUCUCCUUAGCCAGAUCUUCAAUCUUGGAGUCCUUUUUGUCUAGAUUUCUGUCACUUCUUCUGGUUGGUCCUUCUUUGUCUUUUUCUUUCUUCUCUUUAUCAGAGAUCCCCAGUUUUGAUCCCAGAGAUUCCACAGAAUCCUGGCUAGCAUUAUAAUCCACUGGUUCAGUGUAAUUGUCUUCUAUCAGAGGAUCUUGAAUAUUAUCUUUAUCAGAGUCAUUUUUCUCUCCAGGGAGAUGUUUUCUUUGUUUCCUUCAGCAUCUACUCCACCAAUCUUGAUCUUUUUCCUCAUGUCUGCAGUUUCACAUUCUCUGUCUGUUUCAACAUCCACAUGUUUCCUCUUAUCUUCAUACCACCCCUGUUCCACCACUUUUUCAAGUUCCAAGGUGACUUUGUAUAUCAUGAGGUCUUUGUCAGUUACUUCAGUAUGUGUAGGAAUUUUUUCAAAAUCUCUCACUCCUACCCUGGCUCUGAUUUUUUCCAGCAAAAUUGUUGUCAUAUCUAUCUCCAGGACUAGGCCAACAGUGGCAGCUACUAAACAAGCCCCAAAAAAUGUCUGAAACACUCAGGCAUUUUGCCAAUUUUCACCCACACAGUGUGCAACUUUCCUAUGGCUUGUGUAUCAUAGGUCCAACUAUCCACAUUUAUGAUAGCCUUUGUCCCCAGCAGGUUAAAGUUUCUAAACUUGUGUAAUUCAGUCAGUCUGCUCUUGUUGGGGAACCUCAUGAGAUAAGCCCUGUCUCCAUGUUUUUGCAUCUCCAUUGCCAGUCCCAUUUGAACAUGUAGUUAAACCCCUCCAAGAAUUGUGUCUCAUUGAUCUCCCCAGAGGCAAUAGUGACAAUUCCCAUCGGGUUAAUCUGCUCACUACUCACCACCUCCUUGGAAUUUUGAACCAAGAGCACUCCCAAACCUCUGGCUGCAUAUCCAACAUAUUUAGGCAGGGGCUUAAUCUGUUUCAUCCAGUUGCAAUCUUCAGUGAUGUGAGAAUUUUUUCCACACAUGAUACAGUUAGGAAGCUUGCAAUCUCUAGUUUGAUGUCUGAAAUCUUUGCACUUGUUACAGGGAAUUCUGAAGUUGUUCCCACUUUUUCCUAGAUCAGGGCCUUCUCUCUGUGGAAAUCUGCUUCCCCCCCCCAAGCGCUUUGGUUUUGCCUGGAUCCAGAACCAUUAUCCAUAUCUCCUCCGCAGCUAACCUCUCUGCUUUGUAUCCCUUUCUCUCUCUCACCCUCAAUCAUCAUCCCCUCCUCUCGCUGCUUGUCAGCUCCAGUUACCAUGCCAACCCCCUGCUGUGCCAUCUGGGCAAGGAGAGCCCCAAACCACUGUUGCUGUUGAAGAAAUUCAGGAGGGGGAAUGACACCAGGGGCAGGAUCUUUACCUUUGUCCUCAGAUCCGGCUCUGUUAGCCUCUGGCUUGCCCCCCCCUCUAUCUUUGUCUUCUGUAGUUCUACCAGCAUCUGGGAGCUGCGUCCUGCCUCCAUUCCCCUGGUAGCUAGAAGUCCAAUGGUGGAUCUUGAACUACCAAUCUGAGAGAAAGUGCCUUUGUAUCUGUCCACAUCUUCUUCUUUCUUUCUGUAAUGGAAGCCAUCUCUACCACCACGGUUGAAUCUUCCCCCUCCACGAUUGUUCCCAAAACAUCUGUUCAUCUCUUCUACUUUCUCUCUUUCUGGUGGCGGCGGAAGAGGUGGAAACCCUAAAUCCUCGAGGGGGUCACACUCUUCACCCCAUAGGGAGAGGCGCUUUAUUUAUAUUGCCAAAACUUUCAGAAAGCGUAUUUACCAAAGGCGUUUCUCCCCGUUGCCCAUUUUGCCCCCAUAUCUCACUUUCCCCAAAUUCUCCUUCUCUGGCAGAGUAAUCCCCCACACAACAACCCAAGCCAUUGGUGAUUUCCAUUUCCUCUAUAUAGUUUGCCUCAUUAGACCAGAAAUCUGGAAUUUGGGCAUAUUUAAUUCUACUCAUUUUAUUAACAACCUCCCUUCCCAGUAAAACCUGAUCAGGGGCGAGCAUCUCUCUCUGUUUUCCCAUGAGCAGGGCUGUUAACACACUUCUCAUCACUACUUUCUAUGAUUUUUGCAGCUAUCAGCCGCUUUUUUUUCUUCUUAUUAUUACUUCUAUUAUCACCUAUCGAUGUAGGUUCACUGCCAUAUUUGGAAAUAGGGGGGAUCGUACCUUGCAGAUCCAACGGGAGCCCAAGUCUCCUCGUCGGAAACCUCACCGGCGAGCAGCCAGAAGCGGCCGCCCACCGGCGAGGCCCCUACUCCCGUCCCUGGGAGCGAGCGAGACCGAGCAGGCGUGGGAAACGGCGAGGGAAGCGCGGUGACCUCCUCAGAACCAACGGCAUCUUCUGGAUCUUCUUCGUCCCAAGCUUCAUCCCCCUCCUGCCCUCGGCGCGCCCCAAAUCUGGCCGCCUCUCCACCACUGCAGCCCUGGGCACAACCGGAGCUGGGGCGGGGAGACCCAUCACCGCGCCGACCACAAAUCCAGGUGGAUCCGCAGGGACGGUGCGACGCGAACGAAACGCGAUCCACUUCAUGGCCUGCAUCUGAUCGUCUGAUUCCGCCUCCUUCAUCGCCCACAACAGCAUCCGGAGCGCCCCCACCGGCUCGCCUGACGGAGUGAGGCGCCAGUCCUCCGCCUCGGUGAGCCUCCGGUAGGCACACCCCGCCGCCUCCUUCAGAUUGCUCUCCGUCGAGAACCUGGAGAUGAUCUCCCUCAGCUUCGCCAGCUUCUCUUCGUCGCCGUUGGCUAUCACCAGAACCCUCCUCUCGAGUCUCUGCUUCCAGGAAUCCAUGACCCCGCCUUCGGAGAGCUCGCUCGUGAGAGAGAAGGGAGGUGGUUUUCGUCGAGAGGGGAGGGAAUGGCCGCUCCGCUCCGUGCCGCAACUUUAAUCCGCCUCCCUUCCCGACGUUCUCUCUCCUCCGCCUCGAUCUGCGCUUCACGCCGCGCCUCCGCCUCGGGACUCAAUCCCCUGCCGACCAAAACAACAUGACAUGGAAACCGCACCUGUGUCCCCUCCCCAUGUACCCGCAUCGAGUCGACCCGUACGCCGCGGUCGUCGAGGAGGGAACACCGGGGAGUCACCGCGUCGGAGUAGGAUGCCCCGCUCGUAGAUCUUUCCUUAACAUAUACUCCCUCCGUCCAGAAAAAGUUGUCUAGCGCUUAGUUCAUUUCUAAUUUUGCAAAAAAAAAACUUCCAUCUUCAAAUCUCUUGCUAAUGAGCCCCCCUGCUUCUUCCUCCUUUCUCUGUCGGCCGCGUGCACCGUGGCCGCCCAAGCCACCAUUGGCACCCGUCGUAGGCCGAGCGCGUGACGACGGCCACGGCCUGCGCUGCCGCUGUGAACCACCACCGCCCAUGCCCACCUGCGCCGCCCGAGGCGAGCUGCUCCACUGCUGUGAACCACCGCCGCCCGAGGCGAGCUGCGCCGUCCACCUGCUCCACUGCGGCGACCACCUCGACGGGCGGCGGCUCCACGGCUGAGGGGCGCUGCGCUACCGCCAUCUUCUCCCGCCGUGACCCCUUCCGCCGCCCAGGGCUACCCCGCUAUCCCCUCCCGCCGGCCAGGGCCUGCGCCCGCCUGGGUCUCGAGCGCCUGGACCUGGAGCUCCUGGCGGGCCUGGAACUGAAGUUCAUCCUCAACCUCGAGCUCCCUGUCGUCUCCCCCACUCCUCUCCUCGACCUGCUGCUCGUCUGCAAGUUGCUGUUCCUCCCCGGCGGGCCUGCUCGUGCUGCUGCCGGUGAGAAGAAGAACCCAAGCUCCAAUUUCUGUACAUUGCACUUGUUCAUUAAUUUCAAACACAAUUGAUCAUGUACUCUGCAGAAAUGUUGCAAAAAAGAUUUAGUUAACACAGAAGUUAACUGAAUGUGUCCCUCAAUGUCCAAUGUUCAUCAGUUAACUGAACGUUAACAGAACUAAACUGAAUCUUUGGAUAAUUUCUGAUCCUCACCUAGAGUAUAAGCAAUUUCUGAUCUACUGUUACUGUGGAUUAAGUUGGAUUAAGUUGGAUAUUGUUGGACUAACAUGAUUUUCUAGACAUAGCCCUAAAAUUUCUACACACUGAUUUGACAAGCAAUAUUCCAUUACAGAGAACAUUUACACUGAAAGUAGAACAUUUACACUGAAAAAUUGGACCCCCAAGAAACUGUAUUCAGUGAUCUUGUACUCUGAAAGUAGAACAUUUACACUGAAGCUUCAAACAAAAUUUCAGUGAUCUUGUACUCAGUUUAGUGGCAAUCAGACUUGAGAUGCAAAACUAAAGCUUCGAAACUGAAACAAUGACAAAAUUACUUGCCACAUCAUGAAACAAAUGACAAAAUUACUUGAAAAGGAUUACUCCAUUUAUCUACCUCUGUCAUGAAAGGAGUACUAGACAGCAGCAAUAGUACACCAAGUACUGCCGGCCGCCCUCUAACUAAUUCAUUCAUGGAUGAUUUUAAUCACUGACUCAUCCUGCUAGAUCCAUCACUAAAACUAAUUAGUAAUUUGAUUUAUCUAACAUUUGUUAGUUGAGAAUAAAUGUUCACUCUUAUCUCACAUUUGCUAGUUGAAAUGCAUAAAUUCAGUUGUUCAAGUUUCAAUCUAAGCUAGAAUUUCCAGUUUACACACAGAUGUUGUCAGGCCAAGUGUGAUGCCCUAGUGAGACUGAGGUUGCGGCCUAUUAGGUAAAAAUAGGAUGAGCUACUAAAGAAAUUUGCCAAUUAGCCCAUUGUGUCCCCAAGUGUGAUCACACAGAUGUUGUCAGGCCAAGUGUGAUCCCCUAGUGAGAUUUGUCUGCCAUGUUUUGCUAACUGAAGAAAUACCAGUUGGCCGGCAUGCAGUCUUAAGCAAAUGUCAGAAGCAGCAAAUUUCAGUAAAAAAAAAUCAGUUUUGACACAUAAAUCAUGGAGGGGAAUUGAAGGAGGGAGGCUUAACCUUCCAAGAAGACGCCACCGUCGUCGUCGAGCUCGCAGUACAGUAUGUGCAGGGAUGGUGGAGCUCGCAGUACAGAAGACGUCUCCGCCGCCGUCGAGCUCGCCAUCGAGCUUGCUGUCGUCGGGCUCGUCGGCUACGUCUCCUACCGUCUGGCCUCGCAGCCACCAUAUCAGCCUCGCCGACGCCGGAUCUGAAGCAGACGGAGCAGAGCGCGGAGGUCACUAGGGAGGGGGAAGCUAGGGGAGGAAGGCAAGCUGGAGCUGCGCGAGCAGGAGAGAGUGGCGGAGGAGGCAGUUACGGCGGCGGUGAGCUGUGGCGGUGGUGGAGCAAGGCAGUUGCGGCUUCUGUCGGGGGAGGUCAGAAAAAUCAAGGCUUCUCCUCGCCCGGGGAAGCGACGCGUCGGAGGAGGAGGGGA